CCUACGGGGGGCUGCAGUGGGGAAUAUUGCACAAUGGGGGAAACCCUGAUGCAGCGACGCCGCGUGAGUGAAGAAGUAUUUCGGUACGUAAAGCUCUAUCAGCAGGGAAGAAAAUGACGGUACCUGACUAAGAAGCCCCGGCUAACUACGUGCCAGCAGCCGCGGUAAUACGGAGGGGGCAAGCGUUAUCCGGAUUUACUGGGUGUAAAGGGAGGGUAGACGGCAGCGCAAGUCGGGAGUGAAAUCCCAUGGCUUAACCAUGGAACUGCUUUGGAAACGGUGCAGCUAGAGUGCAGGAGAGGUAAGCGGAAUUCCUAGUGUAGCGGUGAAAUGCGUAGAUAUUAGGAGGAACACCAGUGGCGAAGGCGGCUUACUGGACUGUAACUGACGUUGAGGCUCGAAAGCGUGGGGAGCAAACAGGAUUAGAUACCCUAGUAGUC
rnacentral:rRNA from 1 species